AUGGCAGUCACGAUCAUCAACACCAAUGAUCAGCUCUUAGCCCUGCAGAACCUCCCCGGUCUGAUUCGGAUCAUAAAACUGGAGACGCUGAACGAUCUGGCGUCGGCGCCCAACAUGUACCAGCACCUCCACUCCCUAGUGAGAGCAAGGCUGUGGACAUGUGAGAAGCUAACCGUUCUGGAAGGAUUUAGCUGGUUGGCUCUUUUUGUCCAACACCUCCGCGACGAUCUCGAAGGUCUACAGCCCGCCAUGAAUCCACAUGCCGCCUUACAGGGGCCUAAGAGUGUUCUCCACACGUUUGUUCGGAUUAAGUACCAAGCGGGCCAGCUAAGACGUGCUAAAACCGAGAUCAGAUUUAGGGCUGGAGGGCUGGCAACGGAAGUUGGAAAUCUCGGCACACACUUAAAAGGUCAGUCAGACCAGGUUCUGUUAGGGACCAUGACCAUGGCGGAGUUCCAGGCAUGUAUCCCCGAGCACCUCGUUCAGAUCGACAAUCUACUCCGUGCAAGGAUGCAGUUCUGA
rnacentral:rRNA from 1 species